GACGAACGCUGGCGGCGUGCUUAACACAUGCAAGUCGAACGGGAAGGCCCUGCUUUGUUGGGGUGCUCUAGGUGCGAACGGGUGAGUAACACGUGAGUAACCUGCCCUUGACUUUGGGAUAACUUCAGAAAACUGGGUCUAAUACCGGAUAGGAGCUCCUGCUGCAUGGUGGGGGUUGGAAGGUUUCGGCGGUUGGUGAUGGACUCGCGUCUUAUCAGCUUGUUGGUUGGGUAGUGGCUUACCAAGGCUUGGACGGGUAGCCGGCCUGAGAGGGUGACCGGACACAUCGGGACUGAGAUAAGGCCCAGCCUCCUACGGGAGGCAGCAGUGGGGAAUAUUGCACAAUGGGAGGAAGCCUGACGUAGCCCAGCAGUGUGGGGGAUGAGGGCCUUCGGGUUGUAAUCUGAUUCUGCUUGUGCCGAAGCGUGAGUGACGGUAAUGGGUAAAGAAGCACCGGCUAACUCCGUG
rnacentral:rRNA from 1 species